UGGUGGAGUGAUUUGUCAGGUUAAUUCCCUUAACGAACGAGACCUUAACCUGCUAAAUAGGAGUAGUUAAAACCUAGCUAUAUCCUUCUUAGAGGGACUACGGUACGACAAAGUCCGUGGAAGUUUGAGGCAAUAACA
rnacentral:rRNA from 1 species